GCGAGACACAACAAAGAGAGCUAGCUAUCGUAUGUAAAUAAAUAAGUUUCGACCGUGGAUUACCAGGAAAUUCUUCGAUCGAAAAUUCCGAAGAAAUUCUUUAAUCGAGAAUAACAAACAAAAAACAAUUGAGUAUUCGACUCGUCCGAUGGUAAAAAAGAGACCUUUAUUACGUAAUUUGUAUACUUGUAAUAGAUUUCCUUAAUGUAUUACCUUCAGAGAUGAUUUGCAGGAAACGUGCUUUAUAAACGUGAUAUUUUUUUGACGUAUAAUUCUUUGUUUGUUUCAGUCUCAAGUUUUUGUAAAUUGUUUCCAAUCAGGCGCAAGGUGAUCUCAAAAUCAGUGUUCGCUCGUAAUACUUUCAUAUUUGUUAUUCAUUGAUAAAAUUUAAAUUAGAUUCAAUAGAAAUUCGCAAAGUAGAGUCAGUGUUAGUGCAUUAUUCAUCAUCCAGGAGCAGGAUGCUCAUCGUGAAAGGGAUCAACGAAGAAUCUAAUCGUCAUUGAAAACGUGCGCGUGAUAACGAACGGAGUGUUGUACCGUAUAAGUAAAAAUUAGAAGUUCGUUUGUUGAAAUUCGAUCGCGUUUCGCGAUUCUAUCAGAGACAAGUUUAUUUCAGUCGAUUACGAGCAAAGUAAUCAUAGUGUUAGGGUGUGUUCGUCUAAAAUUAUAUUUUUAUUUUAAAAUAGAUCGUUCGUAUAUUAGAGUCAGUGCAUCAUUGAAGAUGGAGCUGAAAUCACACUUUUUCUCUAGAAAAAUAUUGUCUUUUUUGAAAUCAUCACUAUUAUCGACCUAGUCAGAGGACGUUAACCUAGCUCAUAUUUAAUCUACCCGAUUUUCGACCUCAUACGGAUCAAUCUCCCUCAAUUUUAUCCUACAUCGCGAACGAGUGUUUUGGAGCCAUCGCAGAUCUUCUUAAGUAGUGAGUAAAAA